ensembl:lncRNA
ACGGACCCCUGGACCAGCGCAGAGGUGACCACGUCCACCCUCUGGAGACCUCCUGGGAGCCUGGAGUUCUUUGGAGGGGACCAGGGAAAUCAGUUGAAAUUUCAACCCUGGCUGGACUGCAAUAGGAUGGUGGGAGCACGGAGGCCUUGGUGAGCUGGACAGGGAGCCCCUGCAGUCUCUACCCUCCCUAAAACUUUUGAAAAUGUGCCAUGAAAAGCGUGACAAAGGAGAAGUAUUUUUCUUGAACAUUACCGGCAUCAUCGCUUUGAGGCACGACAUAAGGAAACCCCCAAGUCCCGACAUGAGCGUUUGUCAGCGUGGCUAGGCGUCCCUCUCAUUCCAGUUGCUGUAUUUUUGCCUGCAGUCACCGAGCUCCGGGAAAGUCCUGCACACGCCUCACCAGGGCUGCCCCGCCCAGCCUCCUGCCUGGUCUCCACGGAUGCCACCCCGGUUCGGCCCCUCCCCCAGCUGACGAAGCCCCCAGAUCCGAAGUGACCCGCCGCUGAGCCCCAGUCCCUCACCCCGAGUGAGGAGUGAGUCUGGCCUCUAGAGCU